rnacentral:rRNA from 1 species
CCUACGGGCGGCAGCAGUGAGGAAUAUUGGUCAAUGGCCGCAGGGCUGAACCAGCCAAGUCGCGUGAGGGAUGACGGUCCUAUGGAUUGUAAACCUCUUUUGUCAGGGAGCAAAGGGCGCUACGUGUGGCGUUUUGCGAGUACCUGAAGAAAAAGCAUCGGCUAACUCCGUGCCAGCAGCCGCGGUAAUACGGAGGAUGCGAGCGUUAUCCGGAUUUAUUGGGUUUAAAGGGUGCGCAGGCGGAAAGUUAAGUUAGCGGUGAAAUUUCGGGGGUCAACCCCCGUCUUGCCGUUGAUACUGGCGUUCUUGAGUGAGGGAGAGGUAUGCGGAAUGCGUGGUGUAGCGGUGAAAUGCUUAGAGAUCACGCAGAACUCCGAUUGCGAAGGCAGCAUACCGGCGCACAACUGACGCUGAUGCACGAAAGCGUGGGUAUCGAACAGGAUUAGAUACCCCGGUAGUC